rnacentral:rRNA from 1 species
ACGAACGCUGGCGGCGUGCUUAACACAUGCAAGUCGAACGGAAAGGCCCUGCUUUUGUGGGGUGCUCGAGUGGCGAACGGGUGAGUAACACGUGAGUAACCUGCCCUUGACUUUGGGAUAACUUCAGGAAACUGGGGCUAAUACCGGAUAGGAGCUCCUGCUGCAUGGUGGGGGUUGGAAAGUUUCGGCGGUUGGGGAUGGACUCGCGGCUUAUCAGCUUGUUGGUGGGGUAGUGGCUUACCAAGGCUUUGACGGGUAGCCGGCCUGAGAGGGUGACCGGCCACAUUGGGACUGAGAUACGGCCCAGACUCCUACGGGAGGCAGCAGUGGGGAAUAUUGCACAAUGGGCGGGAGCCUGAUGCAGCAACGCCGCGUGCGGGAUGACGGCCUUCGGGUUGUAAACCGCUUUCGCCUGUGACGAAGCGUGAGUGACGGUAAUGGGUAAAGAAGCACCGGCUAACUACG